AUGGAGAGUUUGAUCCUGGCUCAGGACGAACGCUGGCGGCGUGCUUAACACAUGCAAGUCGAACGGAAAGGCCCUGCUUUUGUGGGGUGCUCGAGUGGCGAACGGGUGAGUAACACGUGAGUAACCUGCCCUUGACUUUGGGAUAACUUCAGGAAACUGGGGCUAAUACCGGAUAGGAGCUCCUGCUGCAUGGUGGGGGUUGGAAAGUUUCGGCGGUUGGGGAUGGACUCGCGGCUUAUCAGCUUGUUGGUGGGGUAGUGGCUUACCAAGGCUUUGACGGGUAGCCGGCCUGAGAGGGUGACCAGCCACACUGGGACUGAGACACGGACCAGACUCCUACGGGAGGCAGCAGUGGGGAAUUUUGGACAAUGGGGGAAACCCUGAUCCAGCAAUGCCGCGUGUGCGAAGAAGGCCUUCGGGUUGUAAAGCACUUUUGUCAGGGAAGAAAUCCUUUGGGCUAAUACCCUAGGGGGAUGACGGUACCUGAAGAAUAAGCACCGGCUAACUACGUGCCAGCAGCCGCGGUAAUACGUAGGGUGCAAGCGUUAAUCGGAAUUACUGGGCGUAAAGCGCGCGUAGGCGGACUAUUAAGUCAGAGGUGAAA
rnacentral:rRNA from 1 species